GAAAUUAAGCUACUUGCCUUUUAUUUUACUGUAAAAGAAACUUAGGCUUCCCAAAGAAACGUUGAGUUUCAGUGGUCCCUCGGAGGUGAUAAGGGAAGACACAAUCUGCUACAGUAAUGUCGUGGAAACAUUCAUUUAUGGAGGCCUUACCAGGAAUGGGAAAAUGCCCACUGCUGGGAGAUGGGCAUGUGGGAGGUUUGUGAACUUUUUAGGGAAGUGCAACUUUUGAAUGCC
rnacentral:lncRNA from 1 species